rnacentral:rRNA from 1 species
AAAACUUUCAACAACGGAUCUCUUGGUUCUGGCAUCGAUGAAGAACGCAGCGAAAUGCGAUAAGUAAUGUGAAUUGCAGAAUUCAGUGAAUCAUCGAAUCUUUGAACGCACAUUGCGCCCUGUGGUAUUCCGCAGGGCAUGCCUGUUCGAGCGUCA